UUUUCUGGAAACUCUGCAACUAGGAGGGGAGGGAGAGAAAGAGGAGAAACCCAGUUGCUUUGAGAUGCAGGCUGAGGUGGAUGGAGAAGACAGGAUCUGCUGGCUGGCAUGGUAGCCGGGGGGAGCGCAUCAUUUUACUGCUGCAGAUUUGUUUGCUCUGAAUGCCCGCAAUAGACAAGGAGAAUUCCAUAAGAUGCUCCACUUUGAUCAUCUUGAGGAGCUAAAGGCCAUAAAGAAGCAUCAGAAAGAUCAGCUUGAUUCCCAGAGAAUGAUUCACAGCAAAAGGUCUGCAAUUCCUCUUUGAAAAGAAGAAAUGCAACACCCGCACUUGGUAUCCUAUUCUCUGCUCCUGCAUUCAAUAUCUUCUUGUUCAGGCUGGGGCAAAGAUUAGUGCAUUAAAGCAUCCUGGCAAUUAUUUACUCAACCUUCUUUCCUGGACAAGUGUUCAAAAUUGUAGAGGUUUAUCUUUCUUCCCUUAGAAGGAAUCAAAGGCUAGUCAAUGAAGCACUGUCUGAACCCUUCCCAGUAAGAGCGCAGAAAGGGACAAAAUGCUAGAGGCAACCUUACGGCAACCUUGUCUCCAACCUCAAUCCAGCUGUGCUGGGACCAGCAAAGCAAAGCAAAAUCCAUACAGUUUUAAGAAACCCAAGCCUGACUUGGUUGAUGGAUAUGGCUGCUUGGAAGGCCUGCAAGGAAAGGAGAGAGAAAGCAGUCAAAGGUGUCUCCCAGCUGGGAAGAAUCUCCCAGCAGAGCCAGAAGAGCAAGAGAUGAAAGAGUCAGCAAGAAAGAGUUUCUUGCAGGAAUCUUGGAAAGCCAGUGGAGAUAUGCUACCGUUCAAGGGAGAUGGCAGCGGGCUGAUAUCAGGGGGUGGAUGCUCCACAACGAGAGACUCUCCAAGGCCAGCUUUGGACUUGCUUCAGUCUGGGUUUAGCAAAAGCGGCGAUCCAAGUCAAGAAUGGAAAGUGGUGAAAGUGAAGCGAGUCCUUAUUUCUCCUGUGGCUGAACCUAGGAAAGCAAGUAAGUGUGGC